rnacentral:rRNA from 1 species
AUUGAACGCUGGCGGCAUGCCUUACACAUGCAAGUCGAGCGGCAGCGCGGGGGCAACCCUGGCGGCGAGCGGCGAACGGGUGAGUAAUACAUCGGAACGUGUCCAGUAGUGGGGGAUAACCAGUCGAAAGAUUGGCUAAUACCGCAUACGAUCUACGGAUGAAAGCGGGGGACCGCAAGGCCUCGCGCUAUUGGAGCGGCCGAUGUCGGAUUAGCUAGUUGGCGGGGUAAAAGCCCACCAAGGCGACGAUCCGUAGCUGGUCUGAGAGGACGAUCAGCCACACUGGAACUGAGACACGGUCCAGACUCCUACGGGAGGCAGCAGUGGGGAAUUUUGGACAAUGGGGGCAACCCUGAUCCAGCCAUGCCGCGUGAGUGAAGAAGGCCUUCGGGUUGUAAAGCUCUUUCGGCGGGGACGAAACGGUUUGCGCCAACACCGCAAACUAAUGACGGUACUCGCAGCAGAAGCACCGGCUAACUACGUGCCAGCCGCCGCGGUAA